AGUUGAGCUCUUGAGUAGUAAACCGUAAGAGAGAAGGGAGAAGGGAGAAAGAAGAAGAAGAAGAGAAAAAAGGGAAAUUAUAAAGGAAAUAGGAAGGAGUUGGAGGAAAUAAGUAAAAAGAUAAUCCUGAUAUUCUACCGGCGGGACGUCAGUAGGAUUUUCUUCGAUAUCAGCUUUGAGUUUUGUUGCUUUCGAGUCAGGCUUAUAGCUUGAUAGCAGGUCAUUUUGUUGGACCUUCAGAACAUGCUUUUUGGUUGUACUUUGUACCUUUCUUUUAUGUCUAGUUAGUGCUCCAAAACUCUGAACUUUUAUAAACUUUUGUAUUAAGACAAUUCAAUUAUAUUAUGAAAUUGAUUUUGUUGUUAA